CGUGACCAGCGCGCCCAGGCCCCACCCCUCGCAGCCAUGGUUACGAAGCCCCCCCCAACUUUGUUCACCUCUCUUCCACUAACCCCCGCACUUGAGCGGAGCUUUCAGGGGUAGUAAACUGAAAGCGCUUUUGUAACGUACUGUUCUCCCUCAGGAAAUGUGGCGUUUGAGGGUGUUAAUAACACGAGCCGCCGCUCUUAUCAUGGCUACCCGAGGCAGUCCAGCCUUUUGUGAGCCGUGACGUCAUUCGCUGCUACGUGUUCUUUUCUCGGAGUAGAGUUCCGGCUGGCUCUGGGAACCCUAACGGACCUGGACUCGCCGGAAGUCGUACUGCUCCUGCAGAGGCUACACAAGAGAGAGCUUUUUGGUUCCGCUUGGAGAUAUGUUUGGGGUAGUGGCCGGGGAAUCUGGUCGUGGUGGCUUAGUUUUUCUCCCUGAAAUCAAAAUGCUUCUACAUAAAUAGUUGCCCUCAAAGGCUGUUCUGGUGAAGAGGCACCUGGUGAAUGCGCAUAUGUCUCUUGAACCUGCUGAGUUUCCACCACUUCAGGAAUCCCAUCUAGUGUGACGGAGACAUGGGUGAUUGGGGCAACAACAAUGUCUUCAGAGGAACUAAAUAUAUCAUUAUCUAAUGGAAAUAAAAUCAACUUUGUAUUAUAAGUCAAGAUAAUAUCAUAAGAUAAUGUCCUUUUCCUAUAUAGAAUAAAGUAGAAAUAAAAUCUGACCAAAUUACUCUUCCUUAUAAAAAUUUCACACUCUAAAAUUGAGAUAUUAUCCACUAGAUUAUAGGCAGAAAAAAAGAUAAGAACAAUUCAAGCUCCACGGCAUUCCAUUGGACGUUUUCAAAAGCUAGGUCGAGCCUACCUUUCCAAUCUCUUCACCCACCAUUCACGGUUUACCCUAUAGUUAUAUCAAAGCAUUUUUAUCUUCAACAUUUCAUUCUUUUUUACAGGUCUGUCUUUGACGCAAUCUAUUCCUCUAUUCGGAAUGCCCUUUCCUGACUCCUCUACCUGUUAAAUGUUUGUCAUUUACAGGCAGCUCAAAUCUUUCUCCACCAAUCUCCGGUGUUUGCAGCUAGAAUACUCCCUACUUCCAGACCCUGCUGUUAUCCCUCUGAUGACAUUUAUUUUUGGCUUUUAUAGUUACUUACACAAAUUGUUGUUUUCAAAUUAUAACUUUGAGGAAUGAAACAACAUCUGUUUGUAUAUAUCAAUCACAUUAUUGUCUAGUGCACUAAAUGCACUGUGCAAAAGAAAAUACUCAAUAAACAUGUUGAA